rnacentral:rRNA from 1 species
UACAGAGGUCCCAAGCGUUGUUCGGAUUCAUUGGGCGUAAAGGGUGCGUAGGUGGCAUGGUAAGUCGGGUGUGAAAUCCCGGGGCUCAACCCCGGAACUGCACUCGAUACUGCCGUGCUCGAGUACUGGAGAGGAGAUUGGAAUUUACGGUGUAGCAGUGAAAUGCGUAGAUAUCGUAAGGAAGACCAGUGGCGAAGGCGAAUCUCUGGACAGUUACUGACACUGAGGCACGAAGGCCAGGGGAGCAAACGGG